ACUCCUACGGGAGGCAGCAGUGGGGAAUAUUGCACAAUGGGCGCAAGCCUGAUGCAGCCAUGCCGCGUGUAUGAAGAAGGCCUUCGGUUGUAAAGUACUUUCAGCAGUGAGGAAGGUGGGUAUGUUAAUAGCAUAUUCAUUUGACGUUAGCUGCAGAAGAAGCACCGGCUAACUCCGUGCCAGCAGCCGCGGUAAUACGGAGGGUGCGAGCGUUAAUCGGAAUUACUGGGCGUAAAGCGCAUGCAGGUGGUUUGUUAAGUCAGAUGUGAAAGCCCGGGGCUCAACCUCGGAAUUGCAUUUGAAACUGGCAAACUAGAGUACUGUAGAGGGGGUAGAAUUUCAGGUGUAGCGGUGAAAUGCGUAGAGAUCUGAAGGAAUACCGGUGGCGAAGGCGGCCCCCUGGACAGAUACUGACACUCAGAUGCGAAAGCGUGGGGAGCAAACAGGAUUAGAU
rnacentral:rRNA from 1 species